CGGACGGGUGAGUAACACGUGGAUAACCUACCUAUAAGACUGGGAUAACUUCGGGAAACCGGAGCUAAUACCGGAUAACAUGUUGAACCGCAUGGUUCAACAGCGAAAGACGGUCUUGCUGUCACUUAUAGAUGGAUCCGCGCCGCAUUAGCUAGUUGGUAAGGUAACGGCUUACCAAGGCAACGAUGCGUAGCCGACCUGAGAGGGUGAUCGGCCACACUGGAACUGAGACACGGUCCAG
rnacentral:rRNA from 1 species